CCCGCGGCGGCCGGGGAUGACGAGCGGCCUUGGGCCCGCCGCUCACGGGGAGGCGCCUUACCCGCGCCCGUGCCCGUGCCCAGCAGCGGCCGGUGUCUACUGCAGAUAUUUCAUCAAAUAAGGAUGAUGAAGAAAACUCUAUGCACACUACGGUUGUGUUGUUUUCCAGCAGUGACAAAUUCACUUUGAAUCAGGAUAUGUGUGUAGUUUGUGGCAGUUUUGGCCAAGGAGCAGAAGGAAGAUUACUUGCCUGUUCUCAGUGUGGUCAGUGUUACCAUCCAUACUGUGUCAGUAU